rnacentral:lncRNA from 8 species
AUGCUCCUCCCCCUUCACCCCUCAUCCUCAUCCUCCUCCCCCCUUCACCCCUCAUCCUCAUCCUCCUCAACCCUUCACCCCUCAUCCUCCUCCCCCUUCACCCGUCAUCCUCCUCAACCCUUCACCUUUCAUCCUCAUCCUCCUCCCCCCUUCACCCCUCAUCCUCCUCCCCCUUCACCCGUCAUCCUCCUCAACCCUUCACCUUUCAUCCUCAUCCUCAUCCUCCUCCCCCUUCACCCCUCAUCCUCCUCCCCCCUUCACCCCUCAUCCUCCUCAACCCUUCACCCCUCAUCCUCAUCCUCCUCCCCCUUCACCCCUCAUCCUCAUCCUCCUCCCCCCUUCACCCCUCAUCCUCCUUCCCCCUUCACCCCUCAUCCUCAUCCUCCUUCACCCCUCAUCCUCCUCCCCCCUUCACCACUCAUCCUCAUCCUCCCCCCCUUCAUCCCUCAUCCUCCUCAACCCUUCACCCCUCAUCCUCUUCAACCCUUCACCCCUCAUCCUCCUCCCCCCUUCACCACUCAUCCUCAUCCUCCUUCCCCCUUCACCCCUCAUCCUCAUCCUCCUUCACCCCUCAUCCUCCUCAACCCCUUCACCCCUCAUCCUCAUCCUCCUCAACCCUUCACCCCUCAUCCUCUUCAACCCUUCACCCCUCAUCCUCCUCACCCAUCAUCCUCCUCAACCUCCUCACCCCUCAUCCUCCUCACCCAUCAUCCUCCUCUAUCUCCUCACCCAUCAUCUUCCUCACCCAUCAUCCUCCUCUAUCUCCUCACCCAUCAUCUUCCUCACCCAUCAUCCACCUCUAUCUCCUCACCCCUCAUCCUCCUCUAUCUCCUCACCCAUCAUCCUCCUCUCCCAUCAUCCACCUCUAUCUCCUCACCCCUCAUCCUCCUCUAUCUCCUCACCCAUCAUCCUCCUCUCCCAUCAUCCUCCUCUAUCUCCUCACCCCUCAUCCUCCUCUAUCUCCUCACCCCUCAUCCUCCUCUAUCUCCUCACCCAUCAUCCUCCUCUCCCAUCAUCCUCCUCUAUCUCCUCACCCCAACUCUCCUUGCCUUCUGGGUGUCCAUCUCUUUAUUCGGGGUGUUGGACUGUGGUUAUCAGCCCUCUGCAGCCUGCUAG